rnacentral:rRNA from 1 species
UGUUAGUGUAAAAUUUUUGUCUAGAUUAGUAUUAGUUAAGUUCUUAAAAAUUAAAUAUAAUGGCGGUAUUUUAGUCUUUUCAGAGGAACCUGUCCUAUGAUUGAUAAUCCACGUUAAAAUAAACUUUUAUUAGAAAUCUAUAUAUCGUCGUUAAAAUUAUUUUUUUUGAAUUUAAAUAAUUGUAAUUUUUUUAAUAAAGUAAAUCAGAUCAAGGUGUAGUUUAUAUAAAAGGAGAGAUGGGUUACAAUAAUUUAAAAAUUUUGGUUUAUAAUUUGUAAAAUUAGUAAUAAAUUGGAUUUGAAAGUAAUUAAAUUUAAUUUUUUUUUAAUGAUUAAGCUCUAAAAUAUGC